CCCUGCAAACCCCACAGCACUCCCAUGUGAUCCCAGCAAACCCCACAGCCCCCCCAGUGUGGUCCCAGCAAACCCCACAAUGUGAUGUCAGCAAAUCCCACAGCCCCCCCAGUGUGGUCCCAGCAAACCCCACAGCCCCUCCAGCAGCACUUCCCGCCAGGUGUUCUCGUUAAAGGCAAACACAACAAGUUUUACAUAAAAUCAAGUGGCAGCAGCCCAGUAUUCCUGGUUUCCUAUUUCAUUUCCAACCCACACCGUGACUAAAGGUCUCCCCAGACCCCUGAUGUGACAAGGCAGUUUUGAAGGCAGAUAAUCCGAGGUGGGUGAGGCUGCUCCAGCACGCCGGGAAAUCCGCAGCGGAGCUGGCAGAGCUCCCCUGGAAGAGCUGAUCAAUAGUUCAAAUCCAUAUCGUAUCAAAAAGGCAGAGGAGACUCACACAAAGCCAGUCCAGCCGUUAUUUAGGGCUCCCAGCCCAGCCCGGCCCGGCAUCCCUGCGGAACGUGUGCCCGGCACGGGGGCAGGCGACGCGGCUCCCGACUGCCAUCGUGCCCCCCAGAGCGCAAACACGGGGCAAAUAAACCCCAAACCAAAGGAAUCAAACCACCCCGGGGGUGGGAGCCCGCUGGAACGAUCCCGGAGCUGCCGCAGCCGGCGCUGGCUCCAACCCCGGAGCUGCCGCAGGACAGGGAGCCGCAAAUCCCAGCGUUCCCGAUGGAUUCCAGCCUGGAAUGACACGAUGGGUUCCAGCCUGCUGAGGAAUGGCACGUGCCAAAGGAUCCGCCCGCUGCUCCUCCGGGAUGAAGACCUUUUGUUCCCAAACCAUGAGACAACCAGAAGAUAAAUGAGGUUAAGAGGUAAUGAGCAGAACAGAAUGUCAUCCUGGUCCUUGGGAAGACGUGGUCUCCUCUACUCUGGGAUAAGGAGAACUCAGUGCCAAAUUGGG